rnacentral:rRNA from 1 species
UACGUAGGGGGCAAGCGUUGUCCGGAUUUAUUGGGCGUAAAGAGCGUGUAGGCGGCCAUGCAGGUCCGUUGUGAAAACUCGAGGCUCAACCUCGAGACGUCGAUGGAAACCUCAUGGCUAGAGUCCGGAAGAGGAGAGCGGAAUUCCUGGUGUAGCGGUGAAAUGCGCAGAUAUCAGGAAGAACACCCGUGGCGAAGGCGGCUCUCUGGGACGGUACUGACGCUGAUACGCGAAAGCGUGGGGAGCGAACAGG